rnacentral:rRNA from 1 species
CAAGUCGAGCGAUGAAGUUUCUUCGGAAAUGGAUUAGCGGCGAACGGGUGAGGAACACGUGAAGAAUCUGCCCUCCACUUUGGGAUAACACCGGGAAACCGGUGCUAAUACUGAAUAUUGAAACAUAAGUGGCAUCACUGAGUUUUGAAAGAAUUCCGGUGGAGGAUGACUUCGCGGCCUAUCAGCUAGUUGGUGAGGUAAUGGCUCACCAAGGCAACGACGGGUAGCCGGCCUGAGAGGGCGACCGGCCACACUGGGACUGAGACACGGCCCAGACUCCUACGGGAGGCAGCAGUGGGGAAUAUUGGGCAAUGGAGGAAACUCUGACCCAGCGACGCCGCGUGCGGGAUGAAGGCCUUCGGGUUGUAAACCGCUUUCAGUAGGGAAGAAGCGAAAGUGACGGUACCUACAAAAGAAGCACCGGCUAACUAUGUGCCAGCAGCCGCGGUAAUACAUAGGGUGCAAGCGUUGUCCGGAAUUAUUGGGCGUAAAGAGCUCGUAGGUCGUUUGUUACGUCGGAUGUGAAAACCUGAGGCUCAACCUCAGGCCUGCAUUCGAUACGGGCAAACUAGAGUUUGGUAGGGGAGACUGGAAUUCCUGGUGUAGCGGUGGAAUGCGCAGAUAUCAGGAGGAACACCAAUGGCGAAGGCAGGUCUCUGGGCCAAAUACUGACACUGAGGAGCGAAAAGUCUGGGGAGCGGCACAGGAUUAGAUACCCCUGGUAGUCCCAGAGCGUAAACGGGUGGGCACUAGUUUGUGGGAAACCUUCCGCGGUUUCUGCGACGCAGCUAACGCAUUUAUUGGCCCCGCCUGGGGAGUACGAUCGCAAGAUUAAAACUGAAUGAAUUGGAGGG